GGAGAAACCCGCGAUUAGUCGAUUCUCGUAUUCAGGUGCGCAGACUGGGAGACCCAAACUACUCGGAUCCAGACGGUUUGCAAGAGACCAGCAAAGAUGGUGGAGUAGGAAGAAGCUGCAAAGCCUGGCUCCCCCCACAGUUCCUCCAAUAAAGAACUAAUUGGGUACCGGACUGAGUUGUGAUCAUUGGAUUGAAGGAGAAACCAUGAACUUGACAAACACCAGGAAGCAGCAACACCAUUUGCAAUGAAGAAUUGAAAAGGGGAUCGUACAUGAAAUCAUGAAUCUCCACAACACGUAGCUUGCUUUCCUGUUUUCAGAAAUUUGGCUGGAGGAAUUCUAUGUGAACUGGAACAACCUCCAGGAAGUGAUGCAGAGUGAGAGGAGCAGAACCAGGAGAACACUGUACACAGAGACUGAUACACUGUGGCACAAUUGAAUGUAAUGGACUUCUCUACUAGCAGCAAUGCUAGUAGAGACAAGACAAUUCUGAGGGACUUAUGAGAAAGAUCCUAUCCACAUCUAGAGAAAGAACUGUGGGAGUAGAAACACAGAAGAAAAACAACUGCUUGAUCACAUGGGUCGGUGGGGCCAAGACUGGGAAAGUAGACUCUAAAGGAUAUGGAAAUAGGUCUUGAUCACUGACACAUGUAAAACCAGUGGAAUUGCUCCUUGGCUCUGGGAGGGGGGAGGGAGGAGGGAAGGGAAAGAACAUGAAUCAUGUAACCAUGGAAAAAUAUUCCAAGUUAAUUAAUUAAAUAAAGCUGAAGCAAUUGUGAAGAAAAAAGAAA